UACGAAGGGGGCUAGCGUUGUUCGGAAUUACUGGGCGUAAAGCGCACGCAGGCGGCUCGAUAAAUUAGAAGUGAAAGCCCCGGGCUUAACCUGGGAAUUGCUUUUAAGACUGUCGGGCUAGAAUCCAGAAGAGGGUAGUGGAAUUCCGAGUGUAGAGGUGAAAUUCGUAGAUAUUCGCAAGAACACCAGUGGCGAAGGCGGCUCACUGGCCCGGAACUGACGCUGAGAUGCGAAAGCGUGGGGAGCAAACAGG
rnacentral:rRNA from 1 species